rnacentral:rRNA from 1 species
AGAGUUUGUUCCUGGCUCAGGAUGAACGCUAGCGGCAGGCUUAACACAUGCAAGUCGAGGGGCAGCGGGGAGGAAGCUUGCUUUCUCCGCCGGCGACCGGCGCACGGGUGAGUAACACGUAUGCAACCUGCCCCUGUCAGGGGGACAACCCGCCGAAAGGCGGGCUAAACCCGCGUACAUGCCACCGGGGCAUCCCGGAGGCAGGAAAGGCUUCGGCCGGACAGGGAUGGGCAUGCGGCGCAUUAGGCAGUAGGCGGGGUAACGGCCCACCUAACCGACGAUGCGUAGGGGUUCUGAGAGGAAGGUCCCCCACACUGGUACUGAGACACGGACCAGACUCCUACGGGAGGCAGCAGUGAGGAAUAUUGGUCAAUGGUCGGGAGACUGAACCAGCCAAGCCGCGUGAGGGAGGAAGGUACAGAGUAUCGUAAACCUCUUUUGUCAGGGAACAAAGACUGGGACGCGUCCCCGGAUGAGUGUACCUGAAGAAAAAGCAUCGGCUAACUCCGUGCCAGCAGCCGCGGUAAUACGGAGGAUGCGAGCGUUAUCCGGAUUUAUUGGGUUUAAAGGGUGCGCAGGCGGUCUGUUAAGUCAGCGGUCAAAGCCCGGGGCUCAACCCCGGCCCGCCGUUGAAACUGGCAGUCUCGAGUUGGAGAGAAGUAUGCGGAAUGCGCGGUGUAGCGGUGAAAUGCAUAGAUAUCGCGCAGAACUCCGAUUGCGAAGGCAGCAUGCCGGCUCCACACUGACGCUGAGGCACGAAAGCGUGGGUAUCGAACAGGAUUAGAUACCCUGGUAGUCCACGCAGUAAACGAUGAAUGCUGGCUGUCCGGGGGGACUGACCCCUGGGUGGCGAAGCGAAAGCGAUAAGCAUACCACCUGGGGAGUACGCCGGCAACGGUGAAACUCAAAGGAAUUGACGGGGGCCCGCACAAGCGGAGGAACAUGUGGUUUAAUUCGAUGAUACGCGAGGAACCUUACCCGGGCUCAAACGGGGAGUGGCGCAGGCAGAGACGCCUGUUUCCCACGGGACACUCCCCGAGGUGCUGCAUGGUUGUCGUCAGCUCGUGCCGUGAGGUGUCGGCUUAAGUGCCAUAACGAGCGCAACCCCCGCGUGCAGUUGCUAACAGUCAACGCUGAGGACUCUGCACGGACUGCCGGCGCAAGCCGCGAGGAAGGCGGGGAUGACGUCAAAUCAGCACGGCCCUUACGUCCGGGGCGACACACGUGUUACAAUGGGUGGUACAGCGGGAAGCCAGGCGGCGACGCCGAGCGGAACCCGAAAUCCACUCUCAGUUCGGAUCGGAGUCUGCAACCCGACUCCGUGAAGCUGGAUUCGCUAGUAAUCGCGCAUCAGCCAUGGCGCGGUGAAUACGUUCCCGGGCCUUGUACUCACCGCCCGUCA